GUGUGGUCCAGGCCCUUCAGGGGCUCAGGUGCUCGUGGAAGAAGUGGACAUUGAAGUACUUAUCACACAAAUGAGGAUAAAAGUACGAUAGCGAUAUCUACCACGAAGACAGAAUCAACGGUUUCUGGGUCUGAGAUGUUGCAUACACCUUCUCAGUCCCUGUAUCCUGAGAUGGAGUCACCUGAGAAUCCACAGCAAGUCCUAACCAGGGAUGGGUCUGGGUGAUUAAGGAAGGUUGGCUUCAGAACUGGGCCAGGGGCACUGCUUUGCUUUUGCUGUUUUGAUCAGCUCUCUGCCUGAAGGAGACAAGAAAAACCAACGGGAACAGCUGGGGAAACUGAGUUACAGAGCUUGUCUGCACUGAGUCAUCAGGAGCAAAUGCUAGAUCAGAUAGGGUCUCUCUCUCUGCCACCCAGGCCAGAGUGCAGUUGACGCAGGGCAGGGGAGCCCCGAAGUGGAGCAUAGUGUGUCCGGAACUGGUGGGUUCUUGGUCUCACUGACUUCAA
rnacentral:lncRNA from 1 species